GCCCCAUUCAUGCUGGGAUGAGCUCACUGUGUAAUCUGAGCCUCACUGUAACACUGCAAUGGGAUACCAGCUGCAGCGGCUGCCAUGGCAGGGCUGGUCCCACCGGAGGAGGCACCCUGGCACCCCUGACUCCCAGGAUGAGUCCCAGGGAACACCAGGGUGGAGUCAGGGGCAGGGAGACUCUUGGGGACUCUGAGGGAGCCACAGCCCAGGGAGACCUCCCAAGAAGACCUCCCAAGAAUCAAGCCCAGCCUGUGGACCUGGGGUGCUGAUGGAAUAGACUGAUGCAGUAGAGUCUUGCGGUGGGGCAUGGAGGGGAGUGUGGAUGACACCCAAACCUACUCUGUGAUGAUGGCAGAAGGCAUGAAGGCCCCUCCCCACUCAUGACGCCCCAGCAGGCGGCUUCGAAGGCCUCACGCUGCUCAGACAGGGGCGUGGGGGGUACACCUCCAGCAGCUGGGCUCAUGACCAUGCCUUCAGUGCAGAGUCUGAGAUUGGAAAUCACUGUUAGAAGAGUACAAAGAAGAAAACCACAAAGACUUGGCUGAUGGGGUCGUAAGGCCACAGGAAAUGGAACAGAACUACAGCCUGCCAGAGCAGGAAGGAACCUUCUAGAUGAGCUGGGUCAGUGUUUUCAGACCACGGAGUGUGGCUCAUCAACGGGCUGUACAAUCAGUUUGGGGGCCAUGGUCAGCAUUUUUAAACAAUAUACAAUGGAACACAAAACAUCAGAGUAAACAUAUGCCAUACAGUACAUACAGUAUUGUUU
rnacentral:lncRNA from 10 species